GUGAAAGGAAAGAGUACUCUGAGUUGAGUUGAUAGAUUUACUUCAGUUGGACAUGUGCACCAAUUUUGGGCGCCGACCUUUAUUUUGAAAGACCAUAUUUUAAAUGACUGUGAUGGAAUAAUUGUGGGAAAAAUCAUACCUUUCUGGUCAGCCAACCCACCAACAUGAAGUGGGUCAUUUCUAUAAUCCAUACCUCUCAACGAAUGAAUCCCACUUUCCGACACCGAGAAAGUAACUAAACUUCAUACAAGCAUGUGAAGAUCUUUCAUGAUUUUUUUUUUUGAAGAAGUUCUACGUAUCAAAGAGAGUCGUGAUAUAUAACGAGGACGACGACAUGGAUAGGCAUUGGCUCCGAUGAUGGUGGUGUUCAGGAUGGGUUCCAAUGGCCAAAUUGAUUCUACGGGGUGUUGCAGAUGAUGGUAUGGUAAUGACUUUUGAAAAUCUAGAACUUAUAAAAGCAAGAUGUGUUAAAUCAUUUGCACCGUUUCCAACUGGAUGUAUGUUUCAUAGCAAACAUGGUCUGCUAAACUUUAAACAUCUAAUGAGGAAGAUGAAAGCAAUGCCAAUAAUUGAUAGCAAGGGGGUUAUGUUUGGCCAACUUCAAUGUUGACUCCCAACCAAAGAUCCAAAUGAUGCCGCGUGUUGGAACUUGGAUGAGAAGGUGUUAUCACAAUUGCUAGAGGAGGGUUCUCAGAACAGUCGACCUUAAAGGAUGUCCCUACACUUAAUGCAUCAUUCUCAAAUGAUUUUGACUUGACCUCAAUUUCGAGGAUGUGUGCUUUACUGGUGUUAGAUGACAUGCAUUGUUUUGGUCUGCCAAAUAAGUUUGAAGGAGGAGGGUUGCACCUUUGGUUCUAGAUAUGGUGAGAUUUUAGAAUUUGGGACAUGUGUGUUUGCGUUUCUUUUUUUUGUCACAUUUUUUAUGGUUUUUUGGGUUCUAUAAAAUUAUUAGUGUACAUUUCAUUUUUAAGGUAUAGGAAUUACAGGGAAGAGAAAAAGAGAAUGAUGUAAGUGUUGUUUAUAGAAGGGAAACUCUAUUGCUGAUGCUACCAAACUCUGUUAAAUUACUCACAAAACAAAGUAUAUAUGCUAACUCUAAUUUUAUGUUGCUUGUCUUGUGUAUGACGAAAUUCCAUCUAGCUUCUAUUGGAUUGGCAGUUUCUGUUGUCUUGGUUCGAAGUCUGUUGUCAAGUAUCCUAAGUGCAGUAUCAGGAGGCAAUCCACAUUUGCUGAUGCAAAGGUCUACAGUGACCUGUCUGUUGACUACUUGAAGAUGUUCCUGCUGAACGCCCCAGCUACUGUGGUUGCACUUGGAUUGUGAGUAACUCUCAUUUUUUCUGUGUGUGAGAGCUUCAUCCUGCUUAAGUUUUUGAUUUGUUUUGGUUUCUUCCAUUCUUUUCUUAUAUAUAUUGUUACACCUUCAAUGAUUUAGCUAAUGUCGUGAAUUGUUAAGUGUAGAUUCCAAAGCCAUAUAGUUUUAUUCUAACUUGGUUUGCAGCCAUUCCCUUUAUUUUGUGGCUGGCUCAAUCAAUUACAAGGGCAAUUGUAAAAGACUUUUUUAUUUUAAAGUUUAGCCUGUGUUGGGCCCAUAUCAUACACUGUUGGCAUGGCUUAUCAAAAUGCAUUCGAUUCAGGCGUAUCACUUGGUAGCCAAACACUUGGAGUAGGGUUUCUGGCUUUGCUGAACAACUUUAUUUUCCUUGGGCUGGGUGUUAUCAUCGGCUACCCUAUUGCUUCAGCUUCAGGUACUUCAAGGCCUGUGGAGGAAUGAUUUGGUGGCACUAAAAGGUGCGUGUCCAAAUUGUGGCGAAGAGGUAUUUGCAUUUGUGAGAAUGGACAGGAAUAUUG